rnacentral:rRNA from 1 species
UAAUGAUGGGUAGGGGAGCUUCCCAUACGGGUUGAAGCAUGACCGUAAGGACAUGUGGACAGUAUGGGAGUGAGAAUGUUGGCAUGAGUAGCGAGAUGUGGGUGAGAAUCCCACAGGCCGUAAACCCAAGGUUUCCAGGGGAAGGUUCGUCCGCCCUGGGUUAGUCGGGACCUAAGCUGAGGCCGAAAGGCGUAGGUGAUGGACAACAGGUUGAUAUUCCUGUACUACCGAUAACCGUUUGAGAGAAGGGAUGACACAGUAGGAUAAGCUAAGCACACUGUUGGUUAUGUGUGCCCAAGCAUUGAGGCAGUCAAAGUAGGCAAAUCCGCUUUGAUAAUGCUGGGAUGUGAUGGGGAGCGAAAUUUAGUAGCGAAGUAGCUGAUUUCACACUGUCAAGAAAAGUCUCUAUCGAGGUUAAAGGUACCCGUACCGCAAACCGACACAGGUGGGUGAGGAGAGUAUCCUAAGGCCAGCGAGAGAACUGUUGUUAAGGAACUCGGCAAAAUGACCCCGUAACUUAGGGAUAAGGGGUGCCACCAUCAGGUGGCCGCAGAGAAUAGGCCCAAGCGACUGUUUACCAAAAACAUAGGUUUCUGCUAAGUCGCAAGACGAUGUAUAGGAGCUGACGCCUGCCCGGUGCUGGAAGGUUAAGGGGAUCUGUUAGAGCAAUCGAAGCAGUGAACUUAAGCCCCAGUAAACGGCGGCCGUAACUAUAACGGUCCUAAGGUAGCGAAAUUCCUUGUCGGGUAAGUUCCGACCCGCACGAAAGGCGUAACGAUUUGGGCACUGUCUCAACAACAGACUCGGUGAAAUUGUAAUUCCGGUGAAGAUGCCGGAUACCUGCGACAGGACGGAAAGACCCCAUGGAGCUUUACUGUAGCUUGACAUUGGGUCUUGGUACUACAUGUACAGGAUAGGUGGGAGGCUUUGAAACCAGGACGCCAGUUUUGGCGGAGCCAUCCUUGGGAUACCACCCUUGUAGUACUGGGACUCUAACCAUAGGCCAUGAAUCUGGUCUUGGGACACUGUCAGGUGGGCAGUUUGACUGGGGCGGUCGCCUCCCAAAAGGUAACGGAGGCGCUCAAAGGUUCUCUCAGUACGGUCGGAAAUCGUACGUAGAGUGUAAAGGCAAAAGAGAGCUUGAUUGCAAGACAUACAGGUCGAGCAAGGAUGAAAAUCGGACUUAGUGAUCCGGUGGUUCUGCGUGGAAGGGCCAUCGCUCAACGGAUAAAAGCUACCCUGGGGAUAACAGGCUUAUCUCCCCCAAGAGUCCACAUCGACGGGGAGGUUUGGCACCUCGAUGUCGGCUCAUCACAUCCUGGGGCUGUAGUAGGUCCCAAGGGUUGGGCUGUUCGCCCAUUAAAGUGGUACGCGAGCUGGGUUCAGAACGUCGUGAGACAGUUCGGUCCCUAUCCGUCGCAGGCGUAGGAAAUUUGAGAAGACCUGUCCUUAGUACGAGAGGACCGGGAUGGACG